AACGCUUGCUACAUGAUAAUGAGAACAGAAACACUUGAUGUGGUAAGAAAAAGAGAGCAACACUGUUCAGUUCAGUUGUGUUCACCACUAUAGGGAAGGAGAAGGACUCUUCUUUGUCUGUGAAAUGUUCUUAGAUGGUUUAAUGUCUCUAAAAGAUGUCUAAUCUCUAAUCCAACCAACCAAAAAUGGAUCAUCAGGUUUUUUUCACUCAACUGAGAUGUUGGACCAAAGUGUACUAACGUGAAGAGAUGAAAAGGCAGUAGCCCACAUUCUGGACUCAAGACACAGAAGAGUCUCAAGAAAAGAGAUUCCCGUCCAGUGUGUGGACAAUCCUUGUGGUUCUAAUGCUACGAUCGUCUAUGAUGACGUUACACACCUUUAUUCUCAACAUGACACCAUAGAUUGGACUGCUUCUGAAGAAGGACACGGCCCUCACAGUUCUGUGCAACCUUUCCAAUCUGCCCGUUAUCAGAAUGAGGACCCUGCCGCUCAGGAUCCUGAAGAGACGGACAGUACUUCAUCAUCCAGAUUCCCAUCCAGUGUUUGGACAAUCCUGAUUCUAAUCCUGUGCUACCAUUUCAUACCCAUUCUGAGAAUGCUACUCAGUUAUUCACCAUCCAGUCUUCAGGAGGAGGAAAAGGAGGAGGAUGACUAGAGGCCUCUACAGCCAUCAUCCAUGUCAAAUUAAGACUUCAGGAAGUUAAUGGUCACGGGCCAAGAGUCAGACACAAAACUGUAUUUUGUAAUGAGAAUUAGCAUUUUUACAAUUUGGUGUUUGUUAAACAAAACACAUAAUAUGUGAGCUUCAGAGGUGCUGGUAGCAUUUGUCUUGUUGUUUCCCUGUUUCCAUGUUACUGUAUGUUAAACUAAGAAUCUGAUAGCUAUGCAUUUAAGUUCACACGAUAGUGGCAUUAUUUAUUCUAAAGUGAAUAAGCAAAUUCCUAAAACUUUCCAAACUAUUUCUUUAAGCUUUAUUCUGAACUACACUAAAAGGUCAACAACAAUUGUUGUUGUCUUGCAUAAUGUUAGAAAAAUCCAACAUAGACACUAUGUACACCAAUAAAAAGUUGUGAAAAUGCUUCAAGCUCAAUAAAAAAUGGUGUUUGUCA